CUGUCUCUGGCUGUCAUCUGCAGCAAGUGCUCAGGGGAGGAGAAGGAGGAACAGGACAAGUCUGCUGCCUGAUGAGGCCAUCUGACACCUCUCCUUCAUGUGCUUGGAGAAGCAGUGACAUGAGGACAGCUCUUGACUCCUCUCCAUGCUGCCCAUGAGAGCCUCAAGCUGAUGUUUUUGAAGGACUACCCAUAGUUCUUCUGACAUGGUAAUAGCUAAAUUAAAGUCUAUUACCGCCAGUGUACAGCUUGAAUUGCUUCUCCAUAUAUCCAUUACUUUUUCUUCAUCAAUAAUGAGCUGCAGCUGCUGUUUUAACCCCUGGUCACGCAGAAUGAUGGGACCUGCUGCACCUCUGCACAGCUACCUUUCACUUUGACCACUUUAAAUAACGCUGUGGCAUUGACCAACUCAGUCAUCUUGGCACUGGACCUCCUGGAACAUCAAAAUUCCUUGCAGGGAUGCCAGUGAAAUUAUCCCUGAUGGCAAUUCCUUUAAAGAAUUUGGACGUGCCUGGACACAAAGCCAUGCUGGACUCCCAAACAGCUUCAGUCUGAGGGAGUAAAAUCUAUGACCCAGAGGAAGAAAGCAGAAGAGACACCCACCAUCAUCCUCAUCAUCAUCCCAGGAUCUUGCAUUGGGAAUUAAUUUUUCACAGAUUAAAG